rnacentral:lncRNA from 1 species
UCUACAAUCAUAUCGUGUAACUGCUCUCAUCAGAGGGUAUGCCCUCAUUCACAGGGAACGGUCCUCUCACGUCUUUUCAUACUAGAUGGGGGAGAAAUAAAAUCCCUCAAAGAUAAAAUACCUAACGGAUCAUAUUAAUUAAAAUGUCAUGCAUACAUACUAAAUUGUUCAUUUCACAUGCUUGUCAAAUAAUAUCACGC